UUGCAGCUCCCAAACCUGAGGAAGUGAGUGAAAAAGUGAAGGAAGAAGAGACCAAAGAAAAGGAGGAUUCAGUAGAAGUUGAAUUUAAAAUGUGGGAGAGCUGCAAGAUAGAGAAAAAGGAGUUCUCUCCGGAGAGAGAAGCAGAACCUGAAUCACUUGAAGAGGAAGUUGACUCAAAGCUAGAACCUGAAUCACUUGAGAGCUUUGAUAAGAUAAAUGGAAAUGCUGUAACAGAGAACAUUGAUGAACCAAAACAACAACAAUUGAAGAAGAAGAAAAAGCCUUUACUUGGCAAGUUUGGAAGCCUGCUCAAGAAAAAGGGUGCUGCUGGGAAC
rnacentral:lncRNA from 1 species